GUUUGGAGUUUUUUGUUUGUUUUUGCAUUAUAUGAGUUCUUUAUAUAUUUUGGAUUUUAAUCUCUCAUCAUAUAUAGGAUUUGCAAAUAUUUUCUCCCUCUGAGCAGGUUGUCUUCAUUUUGUUGAUGGUUUCCUUUGCUGUGCAAAAUCUUUUUAGUUGAUGUAUUCCCCUCUUGUUUUUACUUUCCUUCGCCUUUGAAGUCAGUUCCAAAAAACCAUCACCAAGCCUGGUUUCUAAGAGCUUAUUGCCUAUAUACAAAUUAUUUUUUUCUUCUAGUUUUAUGGUUUCAGGUCUUACAUUCAAAUCUUUAAAGUGUUUUGAGUUCAUUUUUUUAAGAGAGUAAGGAACUUAUUUGACUGUCUUCAAGUUAUACUUAUGAUUACCCUAAGAUUUUUGAAAUGGAGUCAUUAAUUAUGGACCUCUCAGGGAAUUUAUUUUUCCCCUUAGGAAUGUAUUAGUUUAUAUCUCUGGGUCCAUAAAAAGAAGAGAUUGUCUUUUGUGGUCCUUUAAAAAAUCAGUCUCAUUACUAAACCAGUAAGCCAUAAUAUCAUCGAGGGCAAGGUUACACUCUGUAAGAUGAGAACAACAUCACAUAUAUAUAGAAUCAGAUCAAGCUGGAAUAAUUUCUCAGCUUUGUUGCUUAUUAGCUGUGCAACCUUGGGCAAGUAACCACCUCUCUGAGGGUCAGUAGGUUACAUGUUUCACAACAGUUCCUAGUGUCAUGAACCAUAUGUCUCAGUUUUAGGUAGUGCUCAGGGUAGUUCUCUCUUGAGUUAUAAACUGAGCGUUUUCUUUGACUUCUACUUGAAUUCGUCUUGUUUGGCGAAGUUCACGCCUACCACCAUAGACUAUGGCACUGUUUAACACACACUUUAGGAUUGUUAACUGCUCAAAUCCACAGCGCAGCAUGCAUCUCUAAUUUUCCGGCACUGGGGUGAAAAUGCAGAUUCUGAUGGGGCAGCUUUGGAGUUGGGACCAGGCUCUGCACUGCAAAGCAUUUCCCAGGUGAUGUCUGAGCCAGAUUGCUAUUACUCCACCACCACCUCCGCUGGUACUACAGAUACUUGGGUCUGGCGCAUUUGCAGUGACAUGGGGCAGUCCUGUGCAUUGUAGGAGAUCCAGCAGCAUCCCUGGUAGUUUCCUCCGGAUGCCACUGACUCCCAGCCUGCAGCUAGGUCACCUGAAAUGCCUCCAGACAUUGACAGAUAGCCUAAAUCGGUGGGUGGAGAACCACGCCCUUUAAGAUGCCAUGCCAGUGGUGCACCUCGGGGCAAGCCGGUAGGGAUCCUGGAGGUUGGUGCAGAUUGGGAAACAGGCUGGACUGCGCGCGCAGCGCCCGGGGUCGCAGAGGCUGGACGGAAACUUUCGGCUCCUCUCGGAGCAUCGCGCCCUCACGCACCUCCCCUCCACGUGCACUGCGUCCCCACGCACACUGCGUCCCCACGCACACUGCGUCCCCACACACGGCGCAGCCGCCGGAAGUGAGUUCUUGUAGGCCAGUCGAUGAUGCAGCUCCCAGCUCCUUCUAGUCAGCCUGAUGUGGCUCCAGUUUCCCCGUCGUCGCUCGCCGGGAGGUCCCGCACACCUCCCGUCCUUAACUGUGCCUCACACUCCUCAACAGCCUUUGACGGGUGAGGCCGCAAGCUACCCAUCCAGGAGGAGGCCAUCCGUGUCAAAGAGCAGGCAAACCAUUCUGUAUCACAGUAAUCCAAGUCUAUGCCCCAACCAGUAAUGCCGAAGAAGCUGAAGUUGAACAGUUCUAUGAAGACCUACAAGACCUUCUAGAAAUAACACCAAAAAAAAAGAUAUCCUUUUCAUUAUAGGGGACUGGAAUGCUAAAAUAGGAAGUCAAGAGAUACCUGGAGUAACAGCCACGUUUGGCCUUAGAGUACAAAAUGAAGC
ensembl:lncRNA